CAGUGUACUUUUUUGGGGGUAUCAUUUUUCAUUUGUUUUUUGUUGUUUGCCUUGAAUUUUGGAAAGGAUGCAGCUCUUCUGCCUGAGUUGCCCACUUUACUAGAUCCUUUCCAUAAUCCCAAGCUCUUUUUGUGAAAUCAGCUUCACUCUACCUGUACUUAAUAAAACUAAGUGGCAGGGUUUCCAUCAGAAUGCCUCACUCAUUUUCUUUGGUCUGGGUGUUUGGUGAAAAGUUUUUUGUUUAAAUGAAUUAUGCUCUAUCACAGAAACAAAGUUGGGUCAUGUACCAUGUACUAGUAACCCCCUGUCACAGAUAGACUUGGUGCUUUUCCCUUCUCUUUCUUUUUGAUUGGUUUUGUCUGAGUUGCUGCUGGUAGGUAUCUAUUCGUUCCAAUGAAACAGAAGUCUGCUUUAGAGGCAGCAAGCAAAAUGAGUCAGAGCAGGUUUCAAUAAAAAACAGCUUGUUGUUUGGAUUUUGUCCUAUGCAUACAGAAACAGGAUAUAGCCGAUAGCCUGCCCUGCUGACUCUUUUUGCCUUUUGGUCUCUGAAAUACAAUGGCUGCAGAGAUGACUGGUGUCAGCUAAUGAGCUUUACUCGCAGUCAGAGCUCAAAUGGGAAAGAAAAUUUGUUUUUUGCACCCAUGAGAUUGUGUUUGGAUCCAUGCACACACACACGAGAUCUUUUUCUGGCAGGACAUUUGGACAUGAAUGUGCAUGUGUUAUUAUGUUGGUAACUGACUAUAAUGAGUAACUACUUGGCAUUUAGUUUUUAAUAGGUUAUUGUGAUGGCAAACAACUGCAAGAAAGAUACAGAACUGCAGAUGGCACUUGUCUAGCUGAAACACCAUAGAGCUUAUUAUCAAUAUUCUUCCAGGUAUGUGAGUGGUUCCUAGCCAGGACAAAGCAGCAGUUUCUUCUCCUCCUUCUGUCUCAACCUAUAACGCUUGGUGUGUAAAUUUGUUGACUGUUACAGAUUCCUCUAGCAUUAAAGGAAAUACAUAAAUACACAAAUGGCCUGUCACCUGAAUGUUUAUGGAGGUAGGGUGGUAGAUUGUAAUGUCUCCUUCGGAGAAGACACCUGUGCAGCAUGUAACUGAAUCUUGACAGAGAGAUCCUAACAAGAGCUAUCACGUUACUAAUCUUCAUUUAAUAAAAAGUCCUAAGCUUUUCUAAAAGCUUAUUACCUGGGUACGUUAAGUGACAUGGCUUGUAUCUUCUUUUUGUCAUCACCUUCUCUGUAGGAAUUGUGUGACAAUUGCAUAUGUUGUUGGCUAUGAAGACUGUUUUUGAGAAGGGGGUUUAAAAAUCAAUAAGGGCAACUUACAAAGCCAGGCUUCAGUGGAAUAUGUUUUUCUUUUGAGGUUAAGAGUUUGUAAAGAUAUAGAUGUUGUCCAAUGAUCACUUAAAGCAGAACUUUUAAAUUUUAAUUAGGGAAACAAAAGCAAGCAAUGCAAAAGCAAACAGAAUACAGUGAUAGCCUCGCUAGGGAUUUUAACACAUUUAUUACUACAUAAUUUGCUUUACUCCCUUGAUAUUCUGCUGUCUUGGGAUCAUUUAAUUUUAAUGACCUGGUUUUUUUCACCAUUCAGCAAUUAUGUUUACUUUUCUUGUCAGUUUAAUUCUACAAUUUUUUUUUUGUUUUGUUUUAACAGCAGCUUAUUUUCUAUAACAUUGUUUUUACCUUAUGGCACAAAUUUUAUCUGUUUGCUUUGUAUUCUCAGCAGAAUGGGAAAGCAGUGACCGCUUAAGUGGAGCACCAUGAAUUUCUUGAUUAUGUUUCCAGAUUUACAGGGUGUUUGCUGCAACAACAAUGAAUAUCACAGAAUUAACAAGAAGGAAGGAACCAGAAAAGUGAGCAAAGAGAAUGCGACUGAAGAUGCUUUACUGGGUUGGUGUUCAGAAAGUCCAGGUGGAAGUAAUAUGAGUACAACCACAUGAAGACCUAGGAACAGCCACUCUGAGAAAUUCAUAGAAGCAAAUGAAGGAAUGUUCUCCUCUCCAUCAGGCUCUUCGAGAUCCUCCAUCAUCAAAUCUUGCUGGUUAUUCAUCCAAUUUCCUUUCCGAACUGGCUUCCCCUCCACCUUGGCAUGUUGACAAGCUUGAUCCUGGGGUGUCUGGGUUGCAUGAAUUAAUGAAUCCAUCUCAGUAUGAUUGUGUGGCCUGAGGAAGAUGGAAGUGACAGUUUGCCAUUUCUGCAUCAUCUUACCUAUCUAUAGCAAUCGCAACCAGAGUGAAGACAGAGGCAGAGACAGAGAUUCCUUGGACCAUCCCACUCAUCUUGCAAACCAUGCUCCCAAAUGGCCAUCCUGGAAGGAAACAGGCUAUUGAAAUUGCCUCCAUUUCAUUGCAGCACUAUUCUUACAUGCAUAAGAGGAAAUUUUUGCCCCAGAACUAGUACAUUUAUUUUGCUUUGGCAGGACACAGUAGGAGUUAGGGAGUCAAAAGUUAUGUAAACAAAUGCUUUGCCAAAUGCCUA